GACCUCGGCCCCGGUGGAAGUUAUCGGGUGGCAGCAGAGUUGGAAUGGGAUAGGUAGUUCCCCGUUUCCAGGACCCCAGACGGCCUGCUGGGACAGUGUAUAUGAGUCCGGAAUGGGCUGGACCAGGGUCAGGCUAGCCCAGACUUCAGGUACGGGCUGUGAUGACGAGGAGUGGGCUAGUCUCCCGGGUCGGUCACCGCUGAACUCUCAGGUUGCUGCAAAGGCCAUUAUUUUGUUCCUUUUUCUGGCUGAGUCAUAUUCCAUGAGACAAUCAAGCUUUCGAUGAUCAUGUGAUGAGGUUUCCAGUCAGUUCCAGGUGAAGACACCACUGGCCAUCAAGAAGCUACCCUCUCCCCACCAGACAGAGCAGGAUGAGAGUUCUAUAAUCCUCAAUAGGAGGAAGCACUCAAUUGAACAAGUGCAGGAACCAGCUGGCUGCCUCAGCACUGACAGAAGCAAAUUCCAUUUGCUUGGACCCACUGCAUUCCAUCCCUUGUGGAAGAGAGCAUGUAAGCAAGACAGGACCUUCAGGCCUCUGAAAAAAAAAGGAUCAAAGAACUGAAACUCACCAGAUCACCUCACCAGAUGCUGGACCCCUCAUUCACCAUGUUUGCUUCCUUGCCUCUCCCUAGUUCUUAUUUUCUUACACAUUGUUACAUUUCUUCCCUGCUAUAUCAACCCCUAGUUCUAGUCAGUCAUGGAGAUGGAUUUGAGACUGAUCUCCCAUCCCCUCAGCUACACCACCUGAUUAAAGCCUUCUUCCUUGGCAA
rnacentral:lncRNA from 1 species